rnacentral:rRNA from 1 species
AGUGAACGCUGGCGGUAGGCCUAACACAUGCAAGUCGAACGGCAGCACAGUAAGAGCUUGCUCUUACGGGUGGCGAGUGGCGGACGGGUGAGGAAUACAUCGGAAUCUACUUUUUCGUGGGGGAUAACGUAGGGAAACUUACGCUAAUACCGCAUACGACCUACGGGUGAAAGCAGGGGAUCUUCGGACCUUGCGCGAUUGAAUGAGCCGAUGUCGGAUUAGCUAGUUGGCGGGGUAAAGGCCCACCAAGGCGAUGAUCCGUAGCUGGUCUGAGAGGAUGAUCAGCCACACUGGAACUGAGACACGGUCCAGACUCCUACGGGAGGCAGCAGUGGGAAAUAUUGGACAAUGGGCGCAAGCCUGAUCCAGCCAUACCGCGUGGGUGAAGAAGGCCUUCGGGUUGUAAAGCCCUUUUGUUGGGAAAGAAAAGCAGCAGGUUAAUACCCCGCUGUUCUGACGGUACCCAAAGAAUAAGCACCGGCUAACUUCGUG